AUACGUAGGGUGCAAGCGUUAAUCGGAAUUACUGGGCGUAAGGCGUGCGCAGGCGGUUUUGUAAGACCGAGGUGAAAUCCCCGGGCUCAACCUGGGAACUGCCUUUGUGACUGCAAGGCUAGAGUAAGGCAGAGGGGGAUGGAAUUCCGCGUGUAGCAGUGAAAUGCGUAGAUAUGCGGAGGAACACCGAUGGCGAAGGCAAUCCCCUGGGCCUGUACUGACGCUCAUGCACGAAAGCGUGGGGAGCAAACAGGAUUAGAUACCCUGGUAGUCCACGCCCUAAACGAUGUCAACUGGUUGUUGGGUCUUCAUUGACUCAGUAACGAAGCUAACGCGUGAAGUUGACCGCCUGGGGAGUACGGCCGCAAGGUUGAAACUCAAAUGAAUUGGCGGGG
rnacentral:rRNA from 1 species